rnacentral:rRNA from 1 species
UACGAAGGGGGCUAGCGUUGUUCGGAAUCACUGGGCGUAAAGGGCGCGUAGGCGGCCCUGUAAGUCGGGUGUGAAAUCCCACGGCUCAACCGUGGAAGUGCAUUCGAAACUACAGGGCUAGAGUUCUGGAGAGGAAGGUGGAAUGCUUGGUGUAGAGGUGAAAUUCGUAGAUAUCAAGCGGAACACCGGUGGCGAAGGCGGCCUUCUGGACAGUAACUGACGCUGAGACGCGAAAGCGUGGGGAGCAAACAGG